rnacentral:rRNA from 1 species
GAGCACGUAGGUGGGUUUGUAUGUCGAUGGUGAAAUCCAACAGCUCAACUGUAGAACUGCCAUCGAAACUACAUGACUAGAGGACAGGAGGGGAGAGUGGAAUUCCUAGUGUAGCGGUGAAAUGCGUAGAUAUUAGGAGGAACGCCGGUGGCGAAAGCGACUCUCUGGACUGUUUCUGACACUGAGUGUGCGAAAGCUAGGGGAGCAAACAGGAUUAGAUACCCUGGUAGUCCUAGCUGUAAACGAUGGGCACUAAGUAGAGGGGUUUU